AAGGCAGCAUCUCUUUUGAGACUGCUCCAUUGUGGAGGUUGGAUAACCAGCAUUUGCAUAUUCCAGCUAGAUUGAAGGCAUCCAUUUUGCCACCAUCCUUGUAUCAUUCUCACCUUACACCUUCAAAACAGGCUACCGAAGCUCUGACUGUGGAAGCUCAACACACCUUCUAUGUUAAGAAGCAGCAAGAGGAAUAAAUGCACCUUGCUGCUGGAGAGGACUGAGCUGCAUCUCCUGCUGCUACCCCUGGCUUGUCAUUGUGCUGCUCAUCGAAGGGCUGCAGCCUUGUAGGAAAGAACGGAGAGCAAAGAGCUCUGCCUGCAUUCCUGUCAGCACCCAGAGAUGAGCUGUAAAGCCGUUGCUCUCAGCACACACACAUCUACUCUUCUGCUUGCAUUCACCAAAAUCAAAACCAAAACAUUCUUGCACCUUUCCCUGUCCUUCUUUCACA